AUUGAACGCUGGCGGCAUGCUUUACACAUGCGAGUCGAACGGCAGCGCGGGCUUCGGCCUGGCGGCGAGUGGCGAACGGGUGAGUAAUGCAUCGGAACGUGCCCAGUAGUGGGGGAUAGCCCGGCGAAAGCCGGAUUAAUACCGCAUACGACCUGAGGGUGAAAGCGGGGGACCGAAAGGCCUCGCGCUAUUGGAGCGGCCGAUGUCGGAUUAGCUAGUUGGUGGGGUAAAGGCUUACCAAGGCGACGAUCCGUAGCUGGUCUGAGAGGACGACCAGCCACACUGGGACUGAGACACGGCCCAGACUCCUACGGGAGGCAGCAGUGGGGAAUUUUGGACAAUGGGGGCAACCCUGAUCCAGCCAUGCCGCGUGCGGGAUGAAGGCCUUCGGGUUGUAAACCGCUUUUGUUCGGGAAGAAAUCCUCUGGGCUAAUACCCCGGGGGGAUGACGGUACCGGAAGAAUAAGCACCGGCUAACUACGUG
rnacentral:rRNA from 1 species